rnacentral:pre_miRNA from 1 species
AUCAACAAGGGAUCUUGUUAAAAUGCAGAUUCUGAAUGAGUGAGUCUGACAUGAGGUCGGAGAUUCUGCAUUUUUAACAAGCUCCCACGUGAGGUCUA